GUAGGGAAUUUUGCGCAAUGGGCGAAAGCCUGACGCAGCAACACCGCGUGAGUGAUGAAGCAUCUUGGUGUGUAAAACUCUGUCAGAGGGGACGAAAUAUGACGGUACCCUCAAAGGAAGCACCGGCUAACUACGUGCCAGCAGCCGCGGUAAGACGUAGGGUGCAAGCGUUGUCCGGAAUUAUUGGGCGUAAAGAGUUCGUAGGCGGCAUGAAAAGUCUGGUGUUAAAGCCUGGAGCUCAACUCCAGUUCGGCAUCGGAUACUUUCAAGCUAGAGUACAGAAGAGGCAAAGGGAAUUCCUAGUGUAGCGGUGAAAUGCGUAGAUAUUAGGAGGAACACCGGUGGCGUAAGCGCUUUGCUGGGCUGUAACUGACGCUGAGGAACGAAAGCCGGGGGAGCAAAUGGGAUUAGAAACCCCAGUAGUCC
rnacentral:rRNA from 1 species